GAAAUAACUUCAAUUCAGAAGAGCUGCUGGCUUUCUUAUACGAUUAUCUUCUGCGAAACAAACAAGCGUCACUUACCGUUUCUGAUCUUCGCCUUCCUCGUUACUUUCUCGCUUUUCAUAAAGUCGCGACGACGACGUUACUGUUUCCUCUCCUACUGAAAAACACCAUGCUGCUAACCAAUUUCCUGGAGGUUCUUUUAGAGUCGCGAUUCCUACUAUUUUCUCUGUACUAAAUGGUAGCAAUAACAGCAAAAUGUUUAAAAAAGGAUCCCACAGAGAUCCUCAAAGUACUAAAACAACUUAAAGCUAACGCAAUACAGACCAAGAAACUCCAAACAUCUCUAUAAUGCUAUAACUGUUUGGGAUUUUUUUGGUAUUCAAUAAUUCAAAACAUUCACGAUCUUGCGGCCUCUUCAACCUAGUACAGACCCAACGGAGUCCACUCCCAGAAAAAUAUAUUUAUUAUUUUUUUUAUAUUAAAAGAGAAAUUGGUAGUUGGACACGUAAGACAUCAUUACUUGAGCAAAACCCUUCGAAGCAAACCCUUUGAUGUUCGAAGAUAUCCUAUUCUUCGAGCAUCACCCACUAGAGCAUGUUUUUAGGACUAAAUGCUUGCUAGGCCUAUCUGAAGAUAUUGGCUUUCUGAAAAUAAAACUUAGACCAUAGGAAGAUAGAAUAUCUCUAGAGCCAUGCUCGUAGAUGGAUUUGGACAACUAAACCAGAAUGUUUAUAGUUUGCCAUGGCACUUCGAAGGCAGUUUUUCAUGGAAGAAAAAUUGGGAACUUGAUUGUUUCAUCAAGUUAAUUAAAAGUUCACAAUCCAAAAACCAGGAUGAACUAAAGAAAUAUAAUGUAAUAACGAAAAAUUAGAGCAAUUGUUCCCUCAGCAAGAUUGAGAAAGAGUAUCAGUCAUUCAAUGAUCAGCAUUAGCAUGGUUCAUAUUUAAGCAUCACGGGGAACAUCCAUCAAUUCAAGUUUAGUUUCAAUUACCAUAAACAAACCUUAAACUACUACAAGCCAACUGACAGCAAACAGGGCAUGGCCCAGCACACGAAGACAUGAAGUCAUUACAAAAUCUAUUGUUAAAAUAAAUGAAAAACAAGAUUUAAAGCAAAAUCUAAAAUUUAUGACACAGCAAAAACAUGAACUUUCAACAACAAGACAACUGAGUUAAACCAGCGUGGCCUUUCAAGGAUUUAAAGCAACCCCAGAAGGCUUAAAACACCAAAGAUACUAAAUCCAAGCACACAUAUUAUGACACGGACAACAUGUCACCUCAGUAACUUCAUGGCGCUGUUUUCAGUCAGUGUACGAUCAGUGAUACCACCGCAUUACGUAUGACGGGGAAAAUUAAUUCACAAAAAUUAAGAACAAAAAUAAGUAAGACCAUAAACCCAGAUGAGAAAUUUAGGUUAAAGUCAAUGUAAAAGCUCAGAUAAAUGUUGGAAAGAGUAAAUUCCCUGACCUUACAAAAAGGCCUCAUAAUGAGCUGGGAUUAUAAACAUUUAUCAUCAUAGCUAAGGCAAGCAAUCUGAAUUAAACAUCCAAAGAGAAAAAAAACGAGAAC